CCUAUGCCACAGCCACAUCAACACGGGCUCCAAGCCAAGUCUGCAACCUACACCAAAGCUUAGGGCAAUGCUGGAUCCUUAACCCACCAAGCAAGGCCAGGGAUUGAACCUGUGUCCUCAUGGAUACUAGUCAGGUUCGUUACCAUUGAGCCACAACAGGAACUCCCUGGCUGAUAGGGAUUAAAUACCAGUUGUGGCCAGCUGGGUUCUCCCAAGUGUUUUUCUCCUGCUCCAGGGGGCUGGCUUUGGAGGACUGGGAUUUGGGACUUGGGUCACACUUCACAGGCAUGGGCUGGAUCGAGCCGUGGAAAGGUCCUGGAUGCUUUGGCAGAACUGGUUUUCCCUGGUGGUCUAGUUAAAGAGUUGACUUGAGGGUGGUUUACAUGUCCUUGUCCCCAGGAACACAGGAGCAUGUCUGUGCAGGUGUCCUGUAAAUAUAUAUAUUGGUGAAGGCCACUAAGGUCUCUCACUUCAAUCGGUUAAAAGUGGCAGGGAAGGUGAGUACCUGGCAAGAUAAGUGGGCCAGGCCUUGGUGGCAUCAGUUCUGAAAAAGAGAAAGGCCUUCAGAGGCAUGUCUGCCACAUAGCAUAUGACCUUUCUCCAGCCCAGCUUGUUUUCCCACCACACUGACCACUGUCCUGGGGUAGCUGCUUCUCCCUGUUGCUCCACCCUCAAAUCCUGUUUUUGCAUUGAUUACUCCCUUUGGUUCCCCAGAUUCAGAAGUAUGAGCUGCAGUGGUUCUGAGCAACCUCUCGCUCUGACAGCCACCUUCUCCCAGGUGUUUGGAGAGGCCACCUGGGAUAAAGAGUCAGCCUGCGUGGUCCUGGGGAGUCACCCUGAGGAGAGCCAAUGCUGUUCCCAGGUUUCCUGAGGGCUGGGCACAGGUGUUCUUGCUUUGCAGGAGGCCAGCAGAUCCCUCCAAACUGAGGAAGAUAGGUUUGGGCCUCCACGAUCUGGCUGUGCCCAGAGGCUACCUCCCCUGAACACCUCACACGACUUGGAACUAGUUUGAAAAAACAGGCCCACGGAGGGAGGGAUCCCCUGCCCACCUCAGGAAGGUAAAUUGAGUCAGCAUCUGAAAUCAAUUAAUGUAAUACAUUCUAUGCAUAGAAGGAACAAAACCACAUGAUCAUCUCAGUAGACACAGAAAAAGUGUUUAACAAAAUUCAAUAUCCCUUCAUGAUGAAAACAUUCUAAAACCUAAAAAGAGAAGAGAGCUUCCUCAACCUGACAGAUGGAAUCUAUGAAAAAACCCUUAAUUAGUAUUAUGCCAGGUAGAGAAAAAUGAUGUUUUCCCCCUGAGGUCAAGAACAAGACAAGAGGAGUUCCCUUCGUGGCUCAGCGUUUAUGAUCCCGACUAGGGUCCAUGAGGAUGUGAGUUCAAUCCCUGGCCUCGCUCAGUGGGUUAAGGAUCAGGUGUUGUGGUGAGCUGUGGUGUAAGUCACAGAUGCAGCUCAUAUCCUGUGUUGCUGUGGCUGGGGUGUAGGCUGGCGGCUGCAGCUCUGAUUCAACCCCUAGCCUGGGAACCUCCA
rnacentral:lncRNA from 1 species